GCUGGGCGGCCCACCCGGCCGGCGUGGGGGAGGCAGUUAAAGUGGCUUGCCUCAACCCUGGCCUCCGCCCCGAGCUUUAGCCCAGACGCCUCUGCAUUCAGCAGGUAUCUCGUCCAAGGGAAAACCAGGACAGGAAAUCACGUUGCCAUGGAGACCAGAGAGGCCCUUCCAGACACAGGGGAAAAUAAACACGUUCUGGUUGGACUUAACCCCAACGAAGCCAGGGUAGCCUCACCUCCUAAUCUGAGAGGUCCUGCUUUUCACUAGAAAUAUCCAGGGGCCCCUCCUCCAAGGGCCUCCAGUACCAAGGGCUGUGCAGCCCCUCCAGCCCCUUCAAGCUCUCUGGGAGCAAUGUCACGCAGGGCUGAAGGAGGAAGGCAUUUCUUUUGCCCAGACCUAAGACCUCUGUCUCCUUCACAGCUGAGUGCUUAACGUUGACAAGGACUAAUGCUGGGCACGUUUCUACACACUGUUGGUCUAUGAACUCAUUCAGUCAUCACGAGAACCCAGGGAGAACGGCCUUGUGAUUAUUUUCAUGCCCAUUUUACUGACAAGGAAACUGAGACACAGAGGGACGAAGUGACUCACCCGAGGUUGCCAGAUAGUGGAUGGUGGCAUCUGAAUACGAGGCACUUUGAGAGUUCUGGAGCAACAGAGGAAAGCACUCUGAAGCCUCCCAAACCAGCUGUGUGGCCUUGAGCAAGUUAAGUCACCUCUCUGAGCCUCAGACGUCCCCUUGGCAUGUAGGCACCUACCUUGAGGCCCUGUUGUGGGGUUAAUGUACGUUUAUUGAGCACUGACUGUAUGCGAGGCACUAUCCUGGGACUUGAAAGUACAGUGGGAACAAAGACAGAUGCAGUCCCAUGAUCACGCAGUGGGCAGGUGCACUCAGGACAGAGGGAAGUGCCCUUCUGGAAGCCCUGAGGCAGGAAGGAGUUGGCCCCUUGGAAGAAUUGGGAAUAUGCCAGAGGGGCUGAAGUUCCCGGCACUGUGCAGGCGAGAGCCAGAAGCUGGAUCGCACAGGGCCCAUGGUCGAUUUAUCUUAACCGGAGGAGGAAUCCAUCUCAAGGAAAUAAUCAUACCAGUAUGAAAAAGAUGUACAAGGGCAGAAUCAAACCAAUUGUCCGUCAGUAGUGACCAGAUAAAUGAACGCACUCAAUGGAUAUUUUUUGAGUAACCGCUAAGCUUCAAGCAUUGUGCCAACCCCUAAGGAUACAGUGGAAGGAACCCUACCCUUUCGUAAAUGACAUCAGUAUUUUGGAAGAGUUCAGGCCAACUGUCUUGUAGAAUGGCCCAUGUUCUGGAUUUGCAGGAUUGUUCUUCCUUGGGGUUUGAGACCCAGGUUCACUUUCUCUCUGUUAAAAAAGGAGACUGCCAAGGAUACCGGGGAUGUUCAAAGACACACCAGCACCAAAAGGAAACUUUCCUGUGUGAUCGGAAGUACUGAGACACUGAAGAGAGGGUGACUCCCUCAAGAUGUGGUUCAAUGAUAACCAGUACUUCCUGUGUGUCCCACCUACGGUCACCAUGGACCUUUGUAAAGAAUGAAUCAUUACCUCUUCUCAGAGAGGGAGGGCUGGGGCAAGAAGCAGGCCCCACAGGAGACCGCAUCUCAGCUGCAUUGAAGUGAUCAGGGGCUGCCAAGGAGACAGGUGGAUGUCCCAGGUGGAAGGAACAGCAUUAGUGAAAACAUGGAAGCACAGGUUGGGAUGACAUACCUUCAAGCAAAUUAAAGUAGUUACUGACAUGAGAUGGGGAGGUCGGGAAGGAUUCGAUCGACAAGAUCCAAAUCAUGAAGGCUUUCACAGUGGCACUAAGGGAUUCAAAUUUCAUUCCCCAAGGGAAGGGCAAUCGUUGAAAUAUAUUAAAGGGCAGAAUGACAAGACAGUAACCAUAGCUAUUAUACGGAAGCACUAAUCAUGUACUAGGCACAGAAUCUUCACGACUCUGAGGUAGAUAAUAUUCCCCUCCUGUUUUACAGCUGAGAAAGUGGAGGCUUACGGAGGUUUAAGAAGCUUGCCCGAAUGUGGUAGAUUGCAGAAAUGACCACAGUUUCCAUCUCUCCCUGUGUCUGUCACCUUGCAAAUGACUUUGCAGCUCUUCCCAUCAAGAGAGGAAUCUGUCCCCGACCCGCCCCAGCCUUGUGAUCUUCUUGGCUCAAAGAAAUGCAGGGGAAGGGAUGCAGGGCCCAGGCCAUGCAUGGCUCCAGUUGUGCUUUGGGAACCCCGACAUUCCCAUGUGUACAAGGCCUAGCUAGCCUUUUGCAGAAGGAGAGACCAGGUGGAAAGGAGUCCAGUUUUUCUGGCUAAGACCCAGGCAUGUGACGGAGCCCAACUAAUAUCAACAAAGCCACUUCUCCAACGUGCAGCUGACCACAGACACAUGAGUGAGCCCAGAUAAGUCCAGCACAGCCUCCCAGCUGACCAUAGAUUCAUGAACAACAGGAUAGUGCUAUUUUCAGCCUUUUUUUUUUCUUCACUGGCUUUGGUUAGUAGAAGCUAACUAAAAAACCAAGAUAACUCGGGGAAUAAAUGUUGCAAUCAGGAUUUGUUCCUGGGCUGUGCUCUUUUUCCUUUUUUUCCCAGCCUGUGCUUUAAACGCCAUUUCUCAGAAACACUCAGAAAAUUUCCAAUUUACAUUGGUGUGCAUCGUUGCUGCAGGACAACUGCUCGUAACUUUCCACUGAUUGUGGACCACACAUCAGCUGCCUUGUACCAGUAGCACUUCACACAGAUUUGAUUGAUACGCCAGCAGAGCACAGAUAGAGGGGCAGAGAAAGAUCUGUUCCCCUCAAGAAAAUUUACUGCAAGUGGCACCUUUAAUAAUUCUUUAAAGGCUGUAGUUCUCAGCCAGAAGUGAUUUUGACCCCCUGGUGAAUAUUGGCAGUGUCUGGAGACAUUUUUUAUUGUUGCAACUGGGGAGUGGGGUGUUACUGGCAUAUAGAGGGUAGAGGCCAAUGGGUACUGCUAAACACACACCCUACAAUGCACAAGACAAGCCCCCAAAUCAGGAUAAUUGGGCCAAAAUAUCAAUAGUAGUGAGGUUGAGAAAUCCUGUUGAUUAUUGUUAGAACUGUGAUGGUCGUUUCUGAGCAGUGGAUCUCAACCCUGUCUAUGCAUUAGAUUCAUCCACGGAAUUAAAAAAAAAAAAAAAGGCAAACCAAAACCAAAAAAAAAAAAAAAAAAAAAAACCAAAAAACCACUGCUCAGCCCUGAUUUCCAGAGACUCUGAUUCAUUUGGGGUGGGGCCAUUUAAAAAAUUCUUUCCAAGUGAUUGGAAUGUAUGGCCAGGGCUGAAAGCCACCACUUGAGAGAAAGCACUAUGACAAUGAGUCCUACAAAGAAGACAGAGAAAUGGUGGGGUUUUUUUUGUUUUUUGUUUUUAAGAUUUUAUUUAUUUCUUUUAGAGAGAGAGAGA